UACGGAGGGUGCGAGCGUUGUCCGGAAUCACUGGGCGUAAAGGGCGCGUAGGUGGCGCGAGGAGUCUGUGGUGGAAAGCCCGAGGCUCAACUUCGGGUCGGCCCGCGGAUACUCCUCGUGCUGGAGGGUGGUAGAGGCCAAGUGGAAUUCCGGGUGUAGCGGUGGAAUGCGUAGAGAUCCGGAAGAACACCGGUGGCGAAGGCGGGUCUCUGGGCCAUUCU
rnacentral:rRNA from 1 species